GACGGAAGGUGCAAGCGUUGCUCGGAAUCACUGGGCGUAAAGAGCUCGUAGGCGGUGUGUCGCGUCGGCCGUGAAAACCUGCAGCUUAACUGUGGGCUUGCGGUCGAUACGGGCAUCACUGGAGUUCGGCAGGGGAGACUGGAAUUCCUGGUGUAGCGGUGAAAUGCGCAGAUAUCAGGAGGAACACCGGUGGCGAAGGCGGGUCUCUGGGCCGAUACUGACGCUGGAGGGAGCGAAAGCGUGGGGAGCGAACAGGA
rnacentral:rRNA from 1 species